UUAGACCAAACAUUUAUCUUUUUAAAAAGCCACUGAAGCGUAUGAAGCAAGACCGAAUAAAUUACCAACCACCUAUUUGAGUAGGGCUGUGUAACCUAAUUUGCAUAAACAUGAGUAAUUUAUGAAUAAUAAAUGUCCUUGUAUUCAGCGCGAUCCAUUAAUUUGCAUAUCACCAUGGCACUACAGUUAUUUUUCCUGUGUGUUGUGCUACCAUGAAGCGAUAAGAACCUGCAUAAAACCGAAUCAAAAGGCCAGCAAACACAGGACACAAUAUGAGUUUUUCACCACCAGUGGUGACUUACGGUGGAGUCAGCUCCUAUGGCCUUCUGGGAUACUAAAGACGGAACAUGCCUGCAGCUCUGCGCCCGGCAACUGCCUUCAGUUGUAACAACUCCCCAGUGACAAGCACUUCUGUACGGGACCAUCACAAUGACCACACAAAGACCAGCAGCGCAUGAGCAGCGCUGGAAACGUGUCAUAUCUGUGACUGUGGAAAUAAAUCUCAUCGAUAGUGCUGGUGUGAUGGAAUCUAAAGGGCGGUGUCCCCCGGGGGCUUCGGUUGACUGCUCGCUGACCUUUGCUGCCCUCGGACCACUAGCCACAGUUCAAACAAGAGGCACAAGGGACACAUCAAGGGCAACCAAGGGCUAAAGAGGAUUAUAGAUCAGCGGACAUAUGCCCGGCAAAGGCCACUUCACCGAAACAUUGUAAUAAAUACGGUUUGUUUUUUGCAAGCUAUGGUAGUGUGUGGUCUUUUUUUUUUCAUUAAUUUUCUUUAAAUAGAUCAACAGCAAAGAAAAGAAUGUGUUUGUUUAACUCUUAUAAUACUAUUUUAGUACAAAACAAAUGUUUGGGUUUCAUGAUCUACACCUUUUUUUCUGAAUGCAAUAUUAAAGUAACUGAUGUUUUCACUAUUGUGCAUUGCAAUAAAAUACAAUUAUUAUUACAUUAUUAUUUGUAUUCUACAUUUAUGAAUAUGUAAUGCUAAUUGAUUUUUUCCCCCCCCUUCUUCAAAUUGUAAACAUUUACGAUCUUUCCAGGUUCAACAAAUAUUUCAGAUAUUUCUAUUGUCCAGCAGCUCUUUCUUUGUACUCCCACAAUAUCUUCAAGAUAUAAUUAAGAAUUUUAAUGAUAUUUUUCAUGUAGGCAAACAAAAGCUCUUGCUCGUUUUAAGCUUGUCAGUACAUGAUGCUUUCACAAGGGGGCAGUCACUUCUGUCCAAAUGCUCAUUAUGCAGUCUUCUUAAUUGCAUUACACUGACAGUACAAGCACCUUCCGUCCUCAGAUACUCUGUCAUAUAUAAACAACAACAAAAAAAUACAGUUCAUGUGAUAGCUCUCAUUCCCCUCACCUUAGAACAUGUAAACCAAUGCAUUUAUGUAGAUCACACUAAUAUGUCUUGUUUUGCAUCUAACGUGUUCAUGCAGGCAUGUGAACGUAUUGUUUUUUGGUGCAUUUGCAUUAAGGAGAAUCAAGUAGUCUUUGAAAGCAGCUUUCUGUGGAAAACCAAAGCGCCCAGGUUCGUUAGCUCCUCAAGCAUCCUUGCUUUCACUCUAUUCAUUUCCAGACAAAAAGAACAAGGUUAGGUCACCCAUUCUUACAAGUUCUCAUUAUUUAUUUUGCUGCUCUCAACUGAGCUAACACAAUAAUGAAACUCUCAUUAUUUAGCACAGACAGCGGAUCGGUCAUUAAAAAGAUACCUUUCGAGAAGAUUCGCUUGUUCGAGCACUGGGAACGACGAACCCUCAAAAGGGCUGUUUUGUGAGCCUCAGAUAAAAUGCUUUGUGUGAAUGGAGUCUUCUUAGGAAAAGAAAAGAGCCUCUUCGGCUGUUUGUUUUGGAAUUUGUCUCAUUGAUCCGAGAGCAGCAACUAGAGGAUGAGGCCCGUCUCCACUAUAGCACUCACGACAACUCACUCCUGCGUCACAUGCACGAGACCCAUUCGUGGUGCAAAUUCAUUUUAUUCAUAAAUAUUAACUCUAGAUUUGAAGAGUAAUUAUAAAGUGUGUAUUUUAAAAUUAAAACCUAAAAACUCUGUAACUCAUUCUAAAAAUAUAAGGUAAGUCAAGACUUUUUUUGACAAUCAUUUAUUAGACAAACUGAAAAGUAAUAAAUAAAGAUAAGUACUUAAAAUGCAUUACAGAAUAACAGACCCAUUUAGGCUCAUAGGUUUUAAAAGAUCCCAGCUACUUCACUACUGGAAUACUGUGGGGGAAAAAAAGGAAAAAAGUGAUUUGUCUUUAAUAUCUUAAAUUAAUAUUACUCAGUUCUGAGUCUCAUAUACUAUUUGGCAU